UACCCCAACGUAACUUAGCAACGGCCAGUCAAGAAGAAUGAUCUCAUUUCAGUUGCACCAUGAAGUUGUUGACAUUAGCUUCUGCAGAAUGAGUGCGUUAAUAGAUUGGAUAUUUUCUCAUGUCUACUGAUGAACAGUGCGUGCAUGCCGUGUGUUUGCAAACGAGAUUCGCGGGGAUCAUGUGAGAUGAUGAACAGAGUAAGAUUGGCAUUUCCAUAGUAGUGGCACAAUGUCAUGAUACCUUAGUUCUGCAUCUGGAUAGUUUCAUUUGUUGUGUUCGGUAUAUAACAACACUGAAUCCAAGUACCUACGCAUACAGGCAUGUAACCAGAAGUGUGUUGAUGUGAAAACCUAUCUUACACCCCAAGUACUAUGGAAGCUGUUCUGCCAUGAAGUUCUGGAUGAAGUAGAUACGCACCUGCUGAAUAUUUGGUCUAUGUCCUCGUGGGUGUGUCCUACCAUGAGGAACGAAAGUUUUACCUUCUUGAAUACGCCAGCUUCUAUGAGG
rnacentral:lncRNA from 1 species